rnacentral:rRNA from 1 species
CCAAUAGCGUAUAUUAAAGUUGUUGCAGUUAAAAAGCUCGUAGUUGAAUUUCGGGAUCAAUAUGUCGGUCGUGCCUCGGUACGUACUGGCAUCGUUGGUUUCUCCCUUCUGAAGAACCACGAUGUCAUUAAUUUGGUGUCGUGGGGAAUCAGGACUGUUACUUUGAAAAAAUUAGAGUGUUUAAAGCAGGCUCACGCUUGAAUACAUUAGCAUGGAAUAAUGAAAUAGGACGUUUGAUUCUAUUUUGUUGGUUUCUAGGAUCGACGUAAUGAUUAAUAGGGAUAGUUGGGGGCAUUAGUAUUCAAUUGUCAGAGGUGAAAUUCUUGGAUUUAUUGAAGACUAACUACUGCGAAAGCAUUUGCCAAGGAUGUUUUCAUUAAUCAAGAACGAAAGUUAGGGGAUCGAAGACGAUCAGAUACCGUCGUAGUCUUAACCAUAAACUAUGCCGACUAGGGAUCGGAUGAUGUUAAUUUUUUAAUGACUCAUUCGGCGCCUUACG